ensembl:lncRNA
CUUGAGUCAUCCUCUAUACCAGGCCCGACUUCGGCAUACCCCCCCCCCGCGUGGGCUGCAUCUGGCCCGCACCUGAAAUGAGUUUGAGACCCUCCUCGAUACAAUAGAAUUCUUUCCAAAGGGAAUGCUGGCAUGUGGUGUGCAGCUGCAUCAUUCCUAUUGACACUUUGUCUUAAACUGUUCAUGCCGUGUUUCUUCAUGUCCACAUACCCAGUGACAUAUAAAUGCAUGCUUACACCUCUGCAGAGAUUAAUGAUAAUUUGUGGCCUGUGACUCAAUUUAAGGAAACCUAUCUGACAUCCGGAGCUCUGACUGAGGUUUCCUUUUCAUUCCUUGAUGUGACGUGAAUGCAGAGUUCAGACAGAGGACACGAACACACAUUGAGAGAGACGCUCCUCUUGUUGAAGCUGACCUGUCCUUCAAGGGAGGCCUGUGAUUGGACCAACCGUUUUCAUAUGGGUCCAUCGGAGACGGAUCACGUCUGAUCAGUUCUCAUGGUGACCGUGGGACGGGGACUGGGGGGUUGUUUGGUUGUAUGGACACAAAUACACAAACACACACACACACACACACAGACGGACACACUGCACAUUCUCCCAGUGGGUUUAUUAAUUAAAAGACCCUUCUUGUUGCCCUGGAUUGUUUUAUUGUGUAAUAUGUAGAAGGUGCGUUCAGGAUUACGCGUCCAGAGUUUGACCGGUUAGAUGUUACCUCCCCGUUUCAAAUACUGAUCAUUGGCGCUUUUAUAACUUUGUGCUUACUCAGCUGGACUCCGUUUAAAUGACGCCAACAGAAGACCUGUGACUAAGAAUUCUCGUGUGUAUUUUGUGUACUUCAGUGUAUGUCAGCAUUAUACAAUGGGAACCAAGAGGUCAAUAUGGGCCCAAAUUGGCCCUUGAUGUCAGCUGCCCAGUAGCUCUAACACACUGUCUCUCGCUCUUUUUCUAGGUCUCUCGCCUCCGGUCAGAGCAGAUGUUUUGCUCUAGAGGCAUUGUGGGUCUACGUUACUGCGGCAAUGCCUCCAGUUACGCCAGCUGCUCUUCAUGUCAACAUCGCUACUGGCGACCACGAUGAAAACAACAUCAUGGUCUCUGAAACGGUCCGGAGUAAAGCCGUCAUUUGCAUAAACGCAGGAUAUUGUAUGUGUGUGUGCUGCACUUCAUCACAAACCAAAAUGUCUCUUUGUCUCCUCCACACUCUGCUGCUUCUACACACCAAAGAUGUUUUUGUUCGGCAAAAAAAGCAGCUGCAUUAUUGGC